GGAUCAAUUACCAUCCUCAUGAUAAUUCUAUGACCAGAAGCAUUUAGGAAUUUAAUACAUAUCUCUAAUUCUCAACACUUUGAGAAUAUGUAUCGAAAGUUAAUUUUAUGGAUGAUUCAAAAGAUACAUCACACUUAAAUAAAAAAUAAACUUAUCCUUUUAUUGAUCAAAUUAAUAUAUAAAGUAUAAAAUUAUAUCCUAAAUUUAUUGUAAUGUGUCAGCCAUAUUGGCUUCUAGGACAUACAUCUAAUGCUAAUAGGAAGUAGGAGGUUAAGGUAAGAUGAUAUGAUCCUUCAGGUCAGCAAUGGAGCAAAAAUUACUG
rnacentral:lncRNA from 1 species